UUAUCAGAAAAGUUAAUGAGGUUUACCUCUUCGGAAGUUGGAGAGAAUAGUAAACAGUCAUGCUGUCACUGGUGCUGGAGUCUGUGGAGAACUGUCACACUAAGCAAACAUUUCUUCUCUCAGGAACAGGAUGCUUGACGGCUUGGGCAGACAGAAGCAGCCAGGGGAAAGAAUAACAUGUCUUGUCAUCCUGGGCAGCUCUGCGUUGCUUUAUCUGAGCUUGUGAAACCGUUCUGAACGUGAGUGGUCAGAAUCAAGUCAUGUUCUCGCCCGUCAUCACACUUGGCACGUUUGCCUUCCGGACAAACCCAGUGGACAUUGUGCAGACAUUCUCCAGGUAAUCUCAGGAAGACUGAAGUCUUUAGAAGGCCACUCUUCACAUUUAGGGAUGCUUAGAUAUUUGUGGCCGCCUGCAGCAACUCUACUGUCCUGUCGAAAAGAACCCCAAAGGCAGGCCAGUACAGAUGCCAGAGUACUAACACUGCCAAGGUCAGAAAGCCACUGCUAAAAGCUGGAGAAGUCUUCAUCUGAAGUUGUGAAGAGAGACAGGCUCCAGUCAGGGCUGACAUUUCACAUUCUGACUGUUGUUGAACAACUUUUCACAAGCCAACCCUGACUUUCUGCAAAGGAAACGUGAACGUCAGAAUGAUCAGCAUAGAGAUGCACAGUUUUCAGGAAAGGAAUUACUGCAUUUCCAGGUAAUGCCAUCUCAGUGAUGUCACAGAAAAGUAGACUGCCCGAGUGUCAGCAAAGGUAAUUGUAACAGGUCAGGUUUGGCAGGUGUCCAGUUUUAUGGAAGUUUGUUGUUGGUAACACAGAAGGAGGACAUAGAAGUGACAUUUCUGUUUUCCCACACCACAAGGGGGGUUUGUGCUACAGUGACUGAACCCAGGGUGAACGUCCUGGGUUCCAAGAAGAAUUUUUCAAAAUUAGCUGGGAAAGAUAUUUUCCCCACAUCAAUCCAGCUCGGCACACGUUUUGUUAGUGACAUGUACCUUCCCACACAAAGCAAUGACGUGCUCCUAAUGCUAACAACAUAGCUUAAAAUAAGUAAAAUAAAAUUAUGCACUUUCAUAAAACUUGGUAAAAAAAUGGCAUUCAAGAGCAGGGUGGUGGUGGUGCACACCUUUAAUCCUAGCACUCAGGAGGCAGAGGCAGGUGGAUCUCUGUGAGUUCGAGGCCAGCCUGGUCUACAAGAGCUAGUUCUAGGACAGGCUGCAAAAGCUACAGAGAAACCCUGUCUCUAUAAAACAAAAACAAACAAACAAACAAAAAUAAUUCAAAUUAUAUAGCACACACUUUGACAGGUCUCUUCAGACCCUCAGCCUUCUAUGUCUGGUCUGUUUUCUCAACUUUGUUAUGAUCUGCUGUCCUUCCUAGUCUGUCACCUGGGUACCCUGUCCCUUUAAGAGACAAACUCUGUCCACUCCCAACCCCCACCUCCUUCUGCCCAGGCUAGUGGAUCUCCUACCUCCUCUUUAGCGUCCCCCUUCUUCUGGAGAGGCAGCUUCUGCCUCUCUCCUCCCUCCCCUUCCCCUCUUCCAUUUCCCUUUCCCCUCCAUAACCGACUAAAUAAACUCUAUACCCAAACUCUCACUGUUUCUUGCUGAGGCCUCAGGUCACUUGCCAGGGGACCCAUCGAGGUCUUAGGUGACCUGCUGCUGCCCCUCGUGGGACUGGUCUCCCACCAUCUCUUUAUAAAUGAUAACAUUGGUGUGUGACUCAGCCAGGCUCUCUCCACGUUCCUUCCCACCCACAGGCAGGCUGGUUGAAGACACAUGGGGACCCUGAACUCGGACCACUUUCCAACAUCCCAAGCCUGCUCCAUCGCUUCAAAUGAUUUCUUAACCAAAAGGAUCUUCUGGAAACUGGCAGACCCUGCUUCUAACAGCAGAAGACAAAUACAGUCCAGAUGCCCUUGCCUUCAAUGACCACCGAGGAACUUGAGGAGGAGCUCUAGGUAGCCAAUAGAGGCAUUUUUAACAUGGAUCACACAUGAGGAAGACAUCAGCAUUGCUGAGGUGUAAUGUUACAGUCAUGGUGACUUCUAACAUGGAUCACACACGAGAAAAACAUCAUCAGCAUUGCUGAGGUGUAAUGUUACAGACACGGUGACUUCUAACAUGGAUCACACACGAGGAAGACAUCAGCAUUGCUGAGGUGUAAUGUUACAGUCAUGGUGACUUACGGGGUAGACAUUACCUCAAGUCCUCCAGGUCUCAGGAAGGUGGAACUGCACAUGUGGUCACAAUGGAAACCCCUAGAAAAGAGUAUUGUUUAGUGCUUCCAGAAAAGGUUUGCUGCCUGAGGGCAGAUGCACAGAAAAUUCAAACAAUGAACCUGCAAUUCUUAAACCAUUUAUCUCUGAAAGGAAAAUAAAAGCUAAUAGUUUCUUUGCUACCAAGUGUUAGUCAUGUGGCCUUCACCAAAGUUCCGCCCCCCAUCCUUAGUGGUUUACUGUAGUCAUUCAAAUGUAGAUUUAUUAUGGCAAGGGGCUGAAUUCCAUACCAAAUAAAAUGUACUGGUCUGUUUUAUUAUUUGGAGUAUGGGGAAAGAAAAGGCAGUUCUCUGACUGUUACAGUAAAAAGGCGUUGGCCCCAGUGACAUUUCGGAGCUUGAGUGUUCAUAUUGCCCUUGAUUUCUGCCCCCUGGUAUGGGGUAAAGAUGUCAAUUCCAUGUUGAACCUGGGUGGUCCGGUAUCCUGGUAGCAAUGGUGUGAGGGCCGCUUCUGCAAGUUUGCAAACAACAUGGCUUCAAUAACACCUAUCAGCAUGGGUGUGAAGCAUUUUUCCUGCCUCUCCAUCCUCUUCCUCUUCUUCCUUGGCAGGUCUCACUCUGUUGUCCAGGUUGCCUUUGAACUCUGAGUUCAGCUGAUCUUCCUGCCUCAGCCUCCCUAGCUGUAGGAUAGGUAAUGAGAUUUCAGCAGCACAGCUUAGGUAAUGAGAUUUCAGCAAGCAUAGCUUCAGUAUUGUUCAGGAGAGCAUACAAAUUACUCUUCUCUUGUUUUCUAUAACAUUCCUGAUCCUUGCUUUUCUUCAUUCCUAUUGGUUUACAGUAGGAUCAACCUUAUUAAUUAGAGAAGCCAAUGUUUAAGCAUUUAUGGUGUUAUUUAGAGUUACCUGGAGCCUGUUAGACUACUGGGUCUUUACCCUAGUGUUUAGAAUCUGAGAAGUCUGAGUUGGGUGUACAAUGUGAAACCUGAGAGCCAUCUGAGAUGCUUUCAAUAAUACUGAUGCCCAUGCUCAGCCAAGACUAAUUAAACAAGCAGUCUGGAAGUGAGGUGUAUAUCCAUGUCCUAGGCUGUUACAGCAGAGUGGCACAAUCAAGGUGGCCUAUACAGUAGAAUGCAUCUUUCCAUACUGUAAAGUCAGAAGUCUUAAAUCAAGGUGUCCGUGGGCUCAUGAGUCAUCCAAGGCCUCAGGGAACGUAGUGCUUCUAGCUCGGAGCUAUUGCCACCAGUCUUUGGCAUUAUUUGAUUUCAUAAACAUCUAACUCCUAUAUCUAGCCUCACAUGUCUCUCCUGUCCAUUUGAUGCUAUGUCUGUGUGUCUUCUUUUCAUAAGGACAUUGAAUUAGAUUUAUCUUCUUAUUUCACUAUGGCCUCCUCCUUGACUCUCAGCUUCAUAUGUAAAACCUUUUCCUGGCUGACAUCACAUUCUGCGAUUCCAGGUGGACGUGAACUUGGUCAGAGGCAGAAAGGGAAAGUCUUCCAGCAGCGCCUGCCUCCCACCCGCCAUGGCAGAAUUCCUGUGUUGUGCAGCUUCCAUGAAGAAUCUGGCACGGAACACCAAAGGGCAAGCCCUGUGUCUUCGGCUGCCUCAUAGUCUUCCCAGCAGACAGAGAAGCACACCCCCAACCAUCUUAAAAGCUUGUUAAAGCUAAGUGCAGAUCCCAGGAUUUUAAAGUGUUUAUCUGUGAGGCUCAUUCAGUCCUAAAUUAAAGACCUUGUCCUCAAGCAACUGUAGAUACUGAAGGUAUUUCUUCGUAGGAAGACCCGAUUUCUGUUCCCUAGAGCUUUUUAUAGGGAACAUACCUAUAAAGAGGCCAGAUUAUACACUACAGAAAGCUUUCAGUGAUAAGAAACAAUGUUUUUGAAUGUCCCAUUAUGAACUAGAAAUAAUAUUUUCACUGAAACAAAAAUGCUAAAUUACGAAAGUACCUCCCUAGGGUUUUGAAUCUCGAGCAGUCUAAAUGACUGUUUCCGUGAAUGAAGACCACAGAGGCAUCUCUUUACAAUGCCUUUGAUACAAAGCAGGAGGCAGGAUGCCCACUGUCUGUCUAGACUUGGAGCUGGAGAGGCUUCUAUUGAUGGGGUCCCGGGGCGAGGGGGAACUGACCAGUAGACAAUAGGGCCAAGAACGUGGUCACAGAUGGGACCCUGUGACCCAGAUUACAAGUCAAUCAGAAUUCAGAGGAAGUGAGGUUCCCUUUGGACAUGGUGGGUUUUGAGGCUCACAAUCAGAAUUGUCUAAUGGGUUUAUUCUGACUCUGUUAGGCUUAUAUUGGGUGUUGAGGUUAGCAUUAGUGGGGUUCUAUGACUGAUCUGUGACCCCUGUAGUAGAACUGCAUGUAGAGAUGUGUAUACUCAUCUCAGAAAUAGGAGUCCUGGAUUCUGUUCUCAACUCCACUUGAAGUGACCUUGGAGUUUCCUUGCAGUUUUUAAUUGUGCUGACAGAAAAGUUAUUGAUGCAGUUAGUGAAGGGGAGAACGGGGGGAGCUCGGAGGAAUGGGGUGCUUGGGAUAUAGGAAGGGUGGAUAUGGGAGCAGGGAAGCAUAUAUCUUAAUUUAAGGAG